CGCAGAGAUUUGAAGAGAAUAGGACGUGUGCUAUUUCCAACAAGAAACUCCUCCUCUCGCCUCUGAUUCCCUUGAUCGAUCACCGUUUUUGGCGCUGCCAAUUAUCAAUUCCUAUAUCACAGGUGCCUUUUGGAUCUAAUCUACGAUGAAAAAAUCAACAGGAACGAUUAAAAAGCAGCCACCAAGUGACCGCCGGCCAAGUGGUAGAGACCCGUCCGACGUCAACCUCAAGCCAUGUAGCUUUUGCAAGAAAUUACUGAGGCCCUCUUCAGUAUAUAGACAUGAAAAAAGUGUGAGCGCCUAAUAACCCGUGCGAGAGAGCAUUGGGAGAUGAUGAACAGUGCCUCAAACACUAGACGAGUCUCUUCAGUCCGAGCUCGACCAAAUGAAGAGAACAAUGGCCAGACUAUUGUCGGAGAAAGAAGGUGUAGACUCUGAGUUGUCUAGCGAUCAGGCUGCUGGAAGUGCUGGAGAUUCGGACGACGAUGUUUUCUUGGAAAAAAAUCGUCAAGUGUCCACCCGAAGGCCAGCUCAGGAGGGAGGUGCAGAACGGUUUUUGCACAUAAAGUGACCAGUGUCAUACUGACCACUGAAGAGACACUUGACCGACUCGCUGUUGUGCUUCCGCAAAGGCAACCCAUGGGAAGAGGAGAUGGCUGGUAACAUUUUGGAGGGUGUCACGGCUCAAGCCAAAACCUUUGACGCGACCCGUCCUUAUGUUAGGGAGAGUGGUUCGUCUUGCCAAGCUGAUUGUAGAGCACAUGACAAAAAUCGUCCUGGAGUAAACCGACAGAUGCCGUGAGUGCGACAAGGAAUCUACCGAAUUGCUGCAGUCCGACUGCAAACAUUUCUUCGUGUGCAUGUCCUGCUUUCGUUCUAACAAGAGGUUCAGUUGUAUUAAAGAAGACUGCCUGAGAAAUGAUUGUCACUUCCAAAAUAUGUGAACCAAAUCAUGAGUUUUGCAACUGGCUUCUGUGUUCAUUUGUUUCAUGGUACUUUUGUUGUUGUCAGAAAUGGUUAGCACUUGGCAUUAGCUUUAAUAAUGAAUUUGCUCCUUUGGCUUUGGUUUCACUUGUCAGGUGCUCGUUUAUCUUCGCAUAAAUUUGUCUUUUUGAAGACUGAAUUUUGAGGCUGCCAAUAUUUUUUUUGCUUAUUUGUCUCAACUAAAAUUGUUUUAUGUUAUAAAAAUUUUUGUUAAUAGCUAGUUUGUAUAACUUAGAAUAAUUUUCUUCAACCAUAUUUUGUUCCGAGACACAUAUAAAAAUAAAAAAAAAAACUU